rnacentral:rRNA from 1 species
UACGUAGGGUGCAAGCGUUAAUCGGAAUUACUGGGCGUAAAGCGUGCGCAGGCGGUUUUGUAAGUCAGAUGUGAAAUCCCCGGGCUUAACCUGGGAACUGCGUUUGAAACUACAAGGCUAGAGUGUGGCAGAGGGGGUGGAAUUCCACGGUGUAGCAGUGAAAUGCGUAGAGAUGUGGAGGAACACCGAUGGCGAAGGCAGCCCCCUGGGUUAACACUGACGCUCAGGCACGAAAGCGUGGGGAGCAAACAGG